UACAGAGGUCUCGAGCGUUAGGCGGAAUCACUGGGCUUAAAGCGUGUGUAGGCGGAUCGGUAAGUACCUUGUGAAAUCCCACAGCUUAACUGUGGAACUGCUUGGUAUACUGCCAGUCUUGAGCCACUUAGGGGCUACCGGAACAAAUGGUGGAGCGGUGAAAUGCGUAGAUAUCAUUUGGAACGCCAAUGGUGAAAACAGGUAGCUGGGAGUGUGCUGACGCUGAGACACGAAAGCGUGGGGAGCAAACAGG
rnacentral:rRNA from 1 species